rnacentral:lncRNA from 1 species
GUAAUAAAUUAAAAAUACGGACGGAGUGCAUGUAUAGUAUAGUAGCAGUAGUUAUUAGAGUAUGAAUGAAAAAUGGUACCUUGAAAAUCUGGAACAUUGAUUUAUAUGAAUGAGAAGAUACAGAGAGAGGAGAGGAGAGGAGCAGCCAGCGAGUAAUAAAGAUCGGCAAUUGAAUCGAAUCUGCUCCAACAAAGUAAGGAUCUGUCCUGUGAAUUCAG